AGUGAACGCUGGCGGUAGGCCUAACACAUGCAAGUCGAACGGCAGCACAGUAAUAGCUUGCUCUUACGGGUGGCGAGUGGCGGACGGUUGAGGAAUACAUCGGAAUCUACUUUUUCGUGGGGGAUAACGUAGGGAAACUUACGCUAAUACCGCAGACGACCUACGGGUGAAAGCAUGGGAUCUUCGGACCUUGCGCGAUUGAAUGAGCCGAUGUCGGAUUAGCUAGUUGGCGGGGUAAAGGCCCACCAAGGCGACGAUCCGUAGCUGGUCUGAGAGGAUGAUCAGCCACACUGGAACUGAGACACGGUCCAGACUCCUACGGGAGGCAGCAGUGGGGAAUAUUGGACAAUGGGCGCAAGCCUGAUCCAGCCAUACCGCGUGGGUGAAGAAGGCCUUCGGGUUGUAAAGCCCUUUUGUUGGGAAAGAAAAGCAGCAGGUUAAUACCCCGCUGUUCUGACGGUACCCAAAGAAUAAGCACCGGCUAACUUCGUG
rnacentral:rRNA from 1 species